rnacentral:rRNA from 1 species
UACGGGGGGAGCAAGCGUUGUUCGGAUUUACUGGGCGUAAAGGGCUCGUAGGCGGCCAACUAAGUCAGACGUGAAAUCCCUCGGCUUAACCGGGGAACUGCGUCUGAUACUGGUUGGCUUGAAUCCGGGAGAGGGAUGUGGAAUUCCAGAUGGUAGCGGUGAAAUGCGUAGAUAUCUGGAGGAACACCGGUGGCGAAGGCGGCAUCCUGGACCGGUAUUGACGCUGAGGAGCGAAAGCCAGGGAGCAAAGCGGGAGUUAGAAACCCCG